GACGAACGCUGGUGGCGUGCUUAACACAUGCAAGUCGAACGGGAUUUAGUAAACAGAAGCCUCGGUGGAAGAUUACUAAUGAGAGUGGCGAACGGGUGAGUAACGCGUGAGCAACCUGCCUAUGACAGUGGGAUAGCCUCGGGAAACCGGGAUUAAUACCGCAUAAAAUCGUAGAAACACAUGUUUUAACGGUCAAAGAUUUAUCGGUCAUAGAUGGGCUCGCGUCUGAUUAGCUAGUUGGUGAGAUAAAAGCCCACCAAGGCGACGAUCAGUAGCCGGUCUGAGAGGAUGAACGGCCACAUUGGAACUGAGACACGGUCCAAACUCCUACGGGAGGCAGCAGUGGGGAAUAUUGCACAAUGGGGGAAACCCUGAUGCAGCGACGCCGCGUGAACGAAGAAGGUAUUCGUAUCGUAAAGUUCUGUCCUAUGGGAAGAUAAUGACAGUACCAUAGAAGAAAGCUCCGGCUAAAUACGUG
rnacentral:rRNA from 1 species